GCACCAGCAAGAGAUCUGCAACUUCAAGAAGCUGUACACAAAGGCUCUCUUCUCCAGGUGUUUUAAUGCCUCUGAAGAGAUGUCCUUGACUCUGAAUGAGUUCUGGAAAAAACAUUUCAAUGCUGUCCACUGCAUCAACCUCAUUGACAAAGCCUAGAUGGUUAUGUAAUGCAGGAGAAAACAAGUGACAUUAGAUUUUUUCAUCAUACUCCGUGACCAUAUCAUCCACCAAGGCUGGAGGGUGUGCCAGGGCAUUGUCCAUCAGAAGAAGGCACCUUUCAGGCAGUUGAGACAAAGAGGAGAGGAAACCACUGACAAUCUCUUGGAUGUCCUUAUGGAGGAGGACUCACCUUCCAAACAAUGACCUCCUGCUCACCCACCUUCCUGUCCUCCAAGCCAGAAGUCGCCUCAAGCAGGGAGAAGGACGGACAUUGGGGACAUUGAGCUGAACAUGACACAUUAAGAGAAAGCACAAGGCUGAAUUUUGCAGCAUCCUUAACAUGUCUUAAUGGUUUUGAGAAGAAGAAAAUUUCAGAGGCAAACUACUGCUCUCCAACUAUUCACCUUCUGUCCUGCGACUGGUGACUCUGGACUACACAAGCAGUACCUUAUCACUAUAUUAAAAUAAUAAAUCAAGGCUCUGGGA
ensembl:lincRNA